rnacentral:tRNA from 1 species
GUUAACGUAGCAAAACCUGGUANAUGCAAAAGACCUAAACUCUUUCUAUAGGAGCUCAAAUCUCCUCGCUAACU